UAGGGAAUCUUCGGCAAUGGGGGGAACCCUGACCGAGCAACGCCGCGUGAGUGAAGAAGGUCUUCGGAUCGCAAAGCUCUGUUGUUAAGGAAGAACGUGUGUGAGAAUGGAUAGUUCAUAUUGUGACGGUACUUAACCAGAAAGGGACGGCUAACUACGUGCCUGCAGCCGCGGUAAUACGUAGGUUCCGAGCGUUGUGCGGAUUAAUUGGGCGUAAAGCGAGCACAGGCGGUUAGAUAGGUCUGAAGUUAAAGGCAGUGGCUCAACCAAUGUAGGCUUUGGAAACUGUUUAACUUGGGUACGGAAGGGGAGAGUGGAAUUCCAUGUGUAGCGGUGAAAUGCGAAAAUAUAUGGAGGAACACCGGUGGCGAAAGCGGCUCUCUGGUCUGUAACUGACGCUGAGGCUCGAAAGCGUGGGGAGCGAACAGG
rnacentral:rRNA from 1 species